AAGCGUUAUCCGGAAUUAUUGGGCGUAAAGAGCUCGUAGGCGGUUUGUCGCGUCUGCCGUGAAAGUCCGGGGCUCAACUCCGGAUCUGCGGUGGGUACGGGCAGACUAGAGUGAUGUAGGGGAGACUGGAAUUCCUGGUGUAGCGGUGAAAUGCGCAGAUAUCAGGAGGAACACCGAUGGCGAAGGCAGGUCUCUGGGCAUUAACUGACGCUGAGGAGCGAAAGCAUGGGGAGCGAACCGG
rnacentral:rRNA from 1 species